CCUCACUGUAAUUAAGGAGAUCAGCAUCUGACACUGAUCCAGGGGAAAUCAGUCCAGGCUGCAGCAGAUUCAUUAUUGUAUCUCCAUUGUGAAAUCCCCUGCAAAUAAAAUAGCUAACAUCACCUCCUGAAAACUGCUGGUCUGCCUGCCAUAAAAGACUUCAGCCAUGGUCUGCAAAGUCAUACACUGGACACCUGGGCAUGUGCAAUGACCAACUGUGCAUACAGGAAUCCAUGAUGUACCUCAAAGGUUGGAUUUAUUGAGUAAAAUGA